rnacentral:rRNA from 1 species
ACAGGCGAUGAAGGACGUAGUAGCCUGCGAUAAGUCACGGGGAGCUGGCAAACAAGCUUUGAUCCGUGAAUUUCCGAAUGGGGAAACCCACCCAGCUUGCUGGGUACUGUGCACUGAAUACAUAGGUGUAUGGAGCGAACUCGGGGAACUGAAACAUCUAAGUACCCGAAGGAAAAGAAAUCAACCGAGAUUCCGCAAGUAGUGG